ACGACCAGGAGCCAAGGGGUGGGUUCUUUCAAAACCCUAAAACUCAUAAAAUCCAACUUAAUCGAAGGAGAAUCAAGCUAAAAUUUGGGGCUUUUAAUAAAUUAGUGAUCACCAAGCCCAGGGGAUCACAAGGUGGAAGCUUGGGGAGAAAGCGGGUCAAAUCGAGUCAAGCAUAAAGGAAAAACGUAUUCGAGAUGCAAGGUGAUGUUGGUGAUACUCCGGAUGGUGAUCAAGCAAGAUGUCAUAGAACCGAACAUAUACUUUUGAAGUUUCCGCAUUAAUAUAUUUUGUUUCCAAUAAAUAUGAACAUGUAACUCUUGAUGCUACUUCUGUAUGAUUUAAAUUGUAGGGAUGUGAAUCCCAAUUACUUAAAUCAUGUAUGAAUGUUAAACUUAACAAAGUUUUUGUU